rnacentral:rRNA from 1 species
UAGGGAGUCUUCGGCAAUGGACGAAAGUCUGACCGAGCAACGCCGCGUGAGUGAAGAAGGUUUUCGGAUCGUAAAACUCUGUUGUUAGAGAAGAACAAGGACGUUAGUAACUGAACGUCCCCUGACGGUAUCUAACCAGAAAGCUACGGCUAACUACGUGCCAGCAGCCGCGGUAAUACGUAGGUGGCAAGCGUUGUCCGGAUUUAUUGGGCGUAAAGCGAGCGCAGGCGGUUUCUUAAGUCUGAUGUGAAAGCCCCCGGCUCAACCGGGGAGGGUCAUUGGAAACUGGGGGACUUGAGUGCAGAAGAGGAGAGUGGAAUUCCAUGUGUAGCGGUGAAAUGCGUAGAUAUAUGGAGGAACACCAGUGGCGAAGGCGGCUCUCUGGUCUGUAACUGACGCUGAGGCUCGAAAGCGUGGGGAGCAAACAGG